UGGGUCGCCGUCGUCGGUCGUUGUUGUCGU
rnacentral:piRNA from 1 species